AUGAUCACCCUGAAGGUAACAUCUUCUCCGCCUUCAAACUCCCUGCAAAGAGCAGGAAGAAGCGCCUCUCUCUCCGAUUGGCUAAUACCUUUGUUCGUCGUCGUUCUCAUUGGCCAGCGACGCUGGGAGCAAACUUUGAAUGUGUGUGUGGAGCCCAAGGAAGACUGGAAGGGAAGCUCUAAGGAGAAGAUGCUGACAUGCCAAAAACUUGGAAGGAGAAACUGACUGCUAUGGAUGAUAAACUAGAAGAAAUAUUUGGAGAUGAAGUGGAGAACAGAUCGAUGGAGGUCUACGAUGAGAUGGUUACGGCCAUGGCUGGAAGUAUCUAUUCGGAACUGGAAAAACUGAUAGGAGACUAUGGGCAAGGUGCUGUCACAGGCCUCAUGCCCUUAUUGGUGACUGUGCUGGAGAGUCUGGAAGUGACCUGUGCCCAAGCUCGUGAGCGAGAGGAGCAGUUGGAGUUGGUACAGGAGGACAAGCAGAGGCUGCUGAUUCAGUAUGAAAGGGAACGCGAUGGGAGAAAACGAUCUGAGGAGAGAUGUAUGGAAAUGGAGGAUGGCAUUGAGCAGGAGAGGAAGCUCUACAAAGCCAAUCUGCUUACCAUGGAAGCACAGACCAAGAACAUGGAGAUGAAGGCAAGGAGCUAUGCUGAUCAGAUCGUUGGCCUUGAAGAUCAAAGGGCUCAGCUGACUAAAGAAUUAUCAUCUCUGACACAAGUUCACACCAAGGUUAUGAAGAAUUACAAGGAACUCCGAAGCCAGAGAUCUCUGUCCAUGGAGGCUGGUCGCCUUUCUGGGCGCAAUACUCCACUUCAGGGCAUAGAAAAGAAGAUGUUGCUGCUGGAUUUCCAGGAGGCACCAUUGUCCUUAGAAAGUGUUCCUGAUAAUGAAUGUCUAGAAAGUCCUAACAGCCAUACGAAUUUCUCCAAGGAGGACAUGACAGUCAGUAGUAAAACCAGCUCUGAUUCUCUGACAGUUGCACAAACCACAAACGAGGCACCUCAGAACCAUGACACCAUUGAAGAUGAGCUAACUCUGGAGGAGAUUAAUCAUAAAAAUGAUCAAGACUCUACAAAGCAGGAGAUCCAGACUGUGGUUGAUGACAUCAUUAAUUCCACUCCUGAAUUAAAGCUCAACCCAGAUCUGUUUGAGGCAAGCAUCCCAUUAUCCCAGCCUGCCGAGGAACAGGAAGAAGCACAGCGCAACAAUGACUCUCUCUUUGAUGAAUUUUACAAGACAAGUCCAGAGUUCAUUUCAGAUGUGGAUGAGGGCGCUGACAUGUCAGGCAUUGGUAAUCCAGUAGAGGCUCUUAUGAUGGAAAACACUCAGCUAAGAGAUGCACAAACUGAAAUAGACAUGGCUAGAAAGAGCCUCAUUGCACGAGUAGAAGAGCUGACAGUAGAGAGAGAGGCAUUAAAGCACGAGAAUGAAAGUCUUACUCAAAGUUUGAGUCGCUGUGAGUCCAGGCUACGGGAGACUGAACAGGACUUGCAGAGGAGUCGACUUGAGCUGGAUGAAGCCAGGAAAAUGAGCAGCGAAGAUGCAGAGGUAGAUGUCCCCGCAGCACAGAGGAAGCGUUUCACUAGAGCAGAAAUGGCACGAGUGCUCAUGGAAAGGAACCAAUAUAAGGAGAAGCUGAUGGAACUUCAGGAUGCAGUGCGCAGAACAGAAAUGCUGCGUGCUUCAAAAGAUGUCCAAGCUGUGCAGAUGAAAAAAUCUUCCUUCUGGAAAGUCUUUGACAGAUUAUUCAGCUCCUCUGGAGGACCACAAGGAAAAGUUGCGGGAACUGCAACAUCUCAUCCCGCUUCAGACAGGGUUCGGUCACCCUCUACUGUAAUGUACCAAGAUGGUCGGGGAAGCUUUAAUGCCCAAAGUCAGUCUAUGAGUUUUCAUGCACACAGUACCUCACAUACAGAUGGUGCCGAUACCGUUUCAGCUCGAGGGAAAAAAUAUAAGCUUUAUCGACAAAUACGUUCUCACAUCUGGAGUGAGCAUGGAAAAGCUCAGCUUCAUGGCUGGAGCCUGCCUCCUUCAGUGGGCAAAAAGAGUGACCCUCAAGGAACAGCUGAAAAUGAAAUGAAAGGUUUCCCUGUGUUAGUGCAGCUUCGCCUGCUAGACCAGAAGGAUCCAAGCACAAAACUCUGGUGUGCGACUGGAAUUGAUCCCUUGGACACCUCAAGCGCAGCAAAUAAAAAUAAUGACCGCAUACCCAGCUUAGUGUGGAUCUGCUCAGGCACCCACUCGGCCAGUGAGAUGAUGGUGAUCGACGCCAGCUCUGGAAACCAUGUCAUGGACCAAUUUGUCAUCCCCAAUACUCAUGUACUCUGUGUCACCAGCGUGCCAGCUUACAGACUGCAUGAUUUGGAUACACCACAAACUGAAGAGGGAGACGACUGUUUCCAAAGCAGCAAAGAAGCCACUGUUUGGCUUGGAACACAGGAAGGGAGCUUGUUUCUGCAUUCUGCACAUUCAUGCUGGAGAAACUGCAUUCAGAAGACUCAGCUAAAAGAUGCUAUCUAUAGUAUUACAUAUGCCAGCGACCGUGUUAUUGCCAGCUUGGGAGAUGGGACACUUGCAAUAUUCAAUCGAAAUGCCGAAAGGAAAUGGGAUCUGGAAAACCCCAAAGUAACGGAGUUUGGGAGACCUCAGCAAUCUAUCCGCUGUUGUGUGGCUGUACAGAAUGAAGUCUGGUGUGGUUACAGGAACAGAAUCUAUGUGGUAGACCCACGGACAGCUAAGAUCAAGAAAUGGUUUGAAGCCACUCCUCGCACAGAGAGCCAGGUACGGCACUUGGCAUCAGCGAGGGAAGGCGUAUGGGUGUCCGUUCGACUGGAUUCCAUUUUACGUCUUCUCGACGCACAGACGGGGCAGCCCUUACAAGAACUGGAAUUGGAGCCUUUCAUUCAUAAGAUGCUGGGCUCAAGCAACUUGGGUAUAUCCAUGGCACAAGUGUCUGCAAUGUCGAUAUUCUGCGAUCGGCUUUUUGUUGGAACUACAAGCGGAGUGAUCCUUUCCAUCCCAUUUUCCAGAGAACAGACCAAACACUGCACAGAGGAAGAUAAAAGCCAAGAGGAGAAUGUGCCCCACAGGGCCGUAUAUUGUUCAAUAGAAUACGCUCAAGUCUGCUUCCACGGCCACAGAGAUGCUGUUAAAUUUUUUGCCUGUGUCCCAGGUUGCAUCAACCCUUCCUCAUCAGAAGGGAACAGUAAGAGCAUAGGAAACUCCAGCGUGCUGGUCAUGAGUGGAGGGGAAGGAUAUAUUAACUUCAAGAUAGGGGAUGAAAUGGGAGACACAGACGAAGGGUAUGGAGAGCUAUUACUCCCAAAUCCAAGGCACAGGAGAUCGGAAAGGAGUCAUCUCAUAGUCUGGCAAAUGCAGACCUGACAGCGGAGUUGCAGAUAAACACUAAUGUGCAAAACAACCAUAUGCUGAGAACACUGGACAGGAAUUCUAAUUAUUGGUUGGCAGCUAAUGGAGAAGGCUCUUUAUGUCUCUGUGACCAUUACAUCUCCUGACUACAUACAAAGUACUGUGCCUUAAUGUAAAGUGAACGUGACAUUUUGGACUUCUUGCAGUGCUGCACUGCCCUAAGAAGAAAGUCCACUCUGGAUGCAAUUUAUCUCCUGCAUUUGUGUGGAUAACAUUUAUAUCUCAGAGAUGAGAUUGUUGUGCUGUAUUUUGCAGUGUUGCACUUUGAAAUGCCUGCAUAAGAGCUUGGCCUCGAAUUUGUCAUAAAUUGGAAACGUCUUCAUUCUGUCCAGUGUCUGUCUGGCUGCAGCUAACAUUCAGACGUUCUUGCUGUACACCUGAAACACACACAUUAUAUAUAUUUUAAAUUGUCCUUUUGUGAUGUUAUCAAGUUCACUCUGUGCUGGUGUUGGUAUCCCCUCUGGACAUUGGAUCUCAAACUGAGGAACUGGGCUCCACUAGUUCUUUUCUUGGGGAUGUAAUAGCACAUCUGUCCGACACUGAAUGAGUUAACUUUCUCUGGAUCCUCUUAAGGAGGAGCCGGAUUUGGGUUAAUAUGGGUGGGGGGUUCAUUGCUCUUCUGUCUGGCACUGAGGCAUCUCAGCAAGGAGCCAAAUGUGGCUUGCGUUAGUGUGAGGGAGGUGCCAUGCUCCUGGCCAGCAAUGAACGAGUUAAACUUCUCUAGACUCACUAUGUUUACAGGUGAUAAGAGAAAGUGAACAAUUGUAUUUGAUCUCAGGGCCCAUUAUUCUCUGCCUUAAACUAAACCAGCAUAUGUCUGUUCCAUUACUACGCCUGGAAGGAUUUACUGGACUUCAGCAAAUGGGACAAAGCAGAAGUCAAUAAAUAAGAAAACGAGGUGAAUAUAGAACUUUUCUCAUGCCUUUUCUUAUAGAAUUACAUGUGUUUAAUCCACUGAGCACCACAGAGAAAUCUCUUAAUUGUGGGAUCAUAAAAAUAAUGUAGCACGUUGUACUAAACACAAAGCAGUGUGCACUCUAGCCCAAGCCCUAAGGGUCAGUGCACACCGGCAGAUUCGGGGAGAUUAGUCACCCGGCGACACAUCUCCUCUUCUUUGGGGCGACUAAUCUCCCUGAAUUGCCUUCCUGCCGGCUAAAACUUAAAUCGCCUGCAGGAUGGCACUCGGAGCGAUUCGUUUUUGACAAGGAAACUUUGGGCGACUUCGGAAAAUGAAACGCUCCGAGCGCCAUCCCACCGUGGAUAUACAUCUUAGCCGACAGGAAAGCAGGAGAGGCAGUUCAGGGAGAUAUAUCGCCCCGAAGAAGUGGAGAUUUGUCGCCGGGCGACUAAUCUCACCAAAUCUGCCUGUGUGCACUGAAAAGUGUUUCUAUUCUUAAGUAGCCUGAUGUUGUUAGACUACAACUCCCAACAUGCAUCGUUCCUUCAUGAAUAGAUUGAAGGAUGCAGGGAGCUGAAGUUUAGAAACAUCUAGGAGCAUCCGAUCAUGUAACCGCUGUGUUUAAAAUACCAAACUACAGCGUUUAUACUGAUUUGAAGUUGUACAUGUAAAAUCUGUUCUACCAUUUGUUAAUGAUAAAAGUACGCUGAAGUUCUAUUUCAAAAGCCAAAUGCUAAUUUGAAGCACACAAUAUAGAGAAGCAAAAUGCAUGCAUAUUCUUCAGUAUUAAAUCUAAUCAAAAGGUUCUGCUCUUUUAUUCUUUUACUGCAUACUAUUUUUUUUUUUAACUAGAUGAUUUGCUUUUGGUUCUGGUUGCUGUAGUGGUCCUUGUUAUUAAAUAUGACUUAUUUAACAUACCAGGGAGGCCCAUUUAUUAAAGGUUGAAUUUUAGUGG